GGGCCCGUGGCGCAAUCUGGAUAGCGUACCUGGCUUCGGACCAGGGGGUUGCGGGUUCGAAUCCCGUCGGGCCCG
rnacentral:tRNA from 1 species